rnacentral:rRNA from 1 species
UACGAAGGGGGCUAGCGUUGCUCGGAAUCACUGGGCGUAAAGCGCACGUAGGCGGCUUCUUAAGUCAGGGGUGAAAUCCUGGAGCUCAACUCCAGAACUGCCUUUGAUACUGAGGAGCUUGAGUCCGGGAGAGGUGAGUGGAACUGCGAGUGUAGAGGUGAAAUUCGUAGAUAUCAAGCGGAACACCGGUGGCGAAGGCGGCCUUCUGGACGAUGACUGACGCUGAGACGCGAAAGCGUGGGGAGCGAUCCGG